rnacentral:rRNA from 1 species
UACGUAGGGUGCGAGCGUUAAUCGGAAUUACUGGGCGUAAAGCGUGCGCAGGCGGCUUUGCAAGACAGAUGUGAAAUCCCCGGGCUCAACCUGGGAACUGCAUUUGUGACUGCAAGGCUAGAGUACGGCAGAGGGGGAUGGAAUUCCGCGAGUAGCAGUGAAAUGCGUAGAUAUGCGGAGGAACACCAAUGGCGAAGGCAAUCCCCUGGGCCUGCACUGACGCUCAUGCACGAAAGCGUGGGGAGCAAACAGG